CACUGUUUGUCCAGAUGGUCCAAUCCCAUCCUGAAGUCUGACUUUGACCAUGAACUGGAUUCAUUCUUGCCCAAUGCAUCGAGACACCCGCAUUCUGACCAGCUUUUAAAAUGUAGUUUGUUUGCCACGGUAUCACUUUCAGCAUUCAGACCCAAAGAGGCCAGAACCUCACAGAACCCCUCUUACGCUCUUGACUGAUUGCAAAAGUUACGUACAAACCGGAGCCGCACAUGAAUGUUUCUGCAUCCAGGAGAUUUUCUGGAUUUACUCAAAUGAGUGCUUGUGCACAGUGUUUUGUUUUUUUUUUUUUUGUAUGUGUAAUUAUGGAAAACAUGAAUCAUUUUGUAUGAAUGUGUGAAUUGUUGACCUCUUACUACUAAUGGUAAUGUCCGCUUGUUUUGUGAACUUGAAGAUAAAAUGUCAAAUUUUAUAUAAAUAAAUGAAAUUGAAUAUUUUUUUUUCUUCUGUAUCUUAAAAAAGGUAAGAAAAGCAUAAUCUGGUUUUAACAGUGAGUCUCUUAAUGUUAACUGAACAAUAAAACAUUACUGUAAUGUAAGCUAGACACAAUACUACACACAAGUUGUAAAUACAAAUGUUUAAAUGCACAUUAAAAUGUUACAAUAAUUCACUUCAUAUGAACUUAAUGCAUAUAUAAAUGUAUACUAUGCACAUUUUGAAAGUCUUAAAUGUUCAUUACAGGUUCUUAAACUUAAUGGCUAAUUUAACACUGUUAUUAAAUGAAUGCUUUUAAAUGUGUAAGGGUAAGGAAUGCACAUAAUGAAAAGCUUUUAUCUGUUGUAAAAGAUUAUGAAUUUCUACACUUACUAUGGACGUGCUGCUUUUUAUAUUUGUUGAUCAGUUAUAAUUUUAGGCACCUCCCAGUCCUGUCUUCCCACGCGUUGAAAUAUAAAGGCACCAAACAGAUUGACAUUUUUUUUUUACUGCAUCGCUCAGCAUCUGCAUCUGCCUUUAAUCAUGACACCAUCUACCUCAACAAGAAACACUUUUAUUUUGCUGUUUUAUCUGAGUUUUACAAUUCUACACGUCAAGGUUAUUGGUUAUAACGGAUGUUACCUGGAAUCUAGACAGGGAAUCUCGAGAUGUGAACGCUGCACUGAAGAAUGUUCUGAGAAAAAAAAUGAGAUGGAAGUUACUCCAUGCACUCAGGACAGCAAUAGAUCGUGCUUCUGUAAACCAGGUUUUUACUGUACAAGAGGAAACAAUUAUGUCACACACUGCCAUAAACCAUGUGUUCCCUGUGGGAAGGGCACCUUCUCCAGCAAACCCUCUCUGGAUGCCUGCAAGCUUCAUACAAAUUGUGCUCAGUUGGGGUUGUUAAUGCGCAAAAAGGGCACAGCGACACAGGACACAGAGUGUGUGACUAUCACCACAGUGAUGUCAUCCUUGUCCACUUUGUCCACUACCACCAAUACCAUUACUACAUUCCCUAUCACUAACACUUCCAUCUCCGGGACAGGGGUCACUGCACCACGCAUAGACACUUCAGAGGAAAGCCAGUACCAUUGGCUGCUGCUAUUGAUCUUAAUGUUGAUAAUAUUGUUCAUGGCUGGAUCCUGUAUGCUGAUGAAAAAUGUGGCAAAGAAAACCUUUUUAAAAUGGCCUGGUUUAAUAAACGGAGGACAUGAAGAUCAUCAACACCGGAGUCAAACUGCAGGUGACCAUCAAAUUUCGUCCAAUACCCAACCCCACACCUUGGAGACUGAGAUACCUCUCGCUAGUAGCAGCAGAGAGGUCAAAGGUCAGAGCACGGGGCUGAUGCCCCAACCUGGGGCUGUGCAGCAGGUCACUAUGGAGCACAAUGGGAAGGGUGAGAACGUCAACAAUACUGUUGGGUCCAUCUACAUCUAUUCUCCUGGAAUGGUGAUUUUGGGAUCCAACUCGGGUGAUAAAAAGGAAGAGGCAGGAGUUUGCGAAGAAGUCGUUCCCCUCAUCAACAGACCACAGCAAGAGUCAAAUCCACCUUCGCAAGAGGUCAGAAUUAGAAUAAGCUCACAGGAAGAGGCCGAGGAGGACCUGACCUUGAGUUUUCCUGUGCCGGCAACUGGAAAGUGAGAACUUCAUGAUGGCCUUUAGGACGAUUCCAGGUGGAAAGGCUGAAAAUCCCAAGUGGUCAUAUAUAAGAUUCCUGGUAAAACAUGGCAUCAGCAAUGGCCAAGUCAUGGUUACAGUUCCAGGGAAACAUGCACGCUGGCAAAAUGUACAGGUUACCUUGAUUGCACUGUAUGUCGAAUACGGAAUGUGUGCAAGAUGGAAAACGCUGUGUAAUGACACUUGCUUUCUUGCACAUCAAGGAAAAGAUUUAUGCUUAAUUUAAGUUGGUCAAUAUUUAGAAUUGCACGUCUGAAUUGCUGCUGCCUGCAAAAAUGGGACAGACACAUGUAUAAAGACUGUAAACCGGAGGUACAGAUAAAGGGGUGAGAAAAACGCCCUCAAAGGCGUUAUGAGUUUUCAAAAUGAAUAGCCUAUAAGACAGAGGCAG
ensembl:lncRNA